UACGAGGGGGGCAAGCGUUGUUCGGAAUUAUUGGGCGUAAAGGGUGCGUAGGCGGUCUGAUAAGUCAUCUGUGAAAUCUAUGGGCUCAACCCAUAGUCUGCAGGCGAAACUGUCGGGCUUGAGUAUGGGAGAGGUGAGUGGAAUUUCCGGUGUAGCGGUGAAAUGCGUAGAUAUCAGGAGGAACACCUGUGGCGAAAGCGGCGCACUGGACCACAACUGACGCUGAGGCGCGAAAGCUAGGGGAGCAAACAGG
rnacentral:rRNA from 1 species